rnacentral:rRNA from 1 species
UAAAGGGUGCGUAGGUGGCUUUUUAAGUCAGGGGUGAAAGACGGUAGCUUAACUAUCGCAGUGCCCUUGAUACUGAAGAGCUUGAAUGAACUAGAGGUAGGCGGAAUGUGACAAGUAGCGGUGAAAUGCAUAGAUAUGUCACAGAACACCAAUUGCGAAGGCAGCUUACUAUGGUUAAAUUGACACUGAGGCACGAAAGCGUGGGGAUCAAACAGGAUUAGAUACCCUGU